rnacentral:rRNA from 1 species
GACGAACGCUGGCGGCGUGCUUAACACAUGCAAGUCGAACGAUGAACCCGGAGCUUGCUCUGGGGGAUUAGUGGCGAACGGGUGAGUAACACGUGAGUAACCUGCCCUGGACUCUGGGAUAAGCGUUGGAGACGACGUCUAAUACCGGAUAGGACCUUGGAUCGCAUGAUCUGGGGUGGAAAGUUUUUUCGGUCUGGGAUGGACUCGCGGCCUAUCAGCUUGUUGGUGAGGUAAUGGCUCACCAAGGCGUCGACGGGUAGCCGGCCUGAGAGGGUGACCGGCCACACUGGGACUGAGACACGGCCCAGACUCCUACGGGAGGCAGCAGUGGGGAAGAUUGCACAAUGGGCGAAAGCCGGAUGCAGCAACGCCGCGUGCGGGAUGACGGCCUUCGGGUUGUAAACCGCUUUUAGUAGGGAAGAAGGGCUUCGGCUUGACGGUACCUGCAGAAAAAGGACCGGCUAACUACGG